rnacentral:rRNA from 1 species
UACGUAGGGGGCAAGCGUUGUCCGGAUUUAUUGGGCGUAAAGAGCGUGUAGGCGGCCUGGUAGGUCAGCUGUGAAAACUCGAGGCUCAACCUCGAGACGCCGAUGGAAACCAUCUGGCUAGAGUCCGGAAGAGGAGAGUGGAAUUCCUGGUGUAGCGGUGAAAUGCGCAGAUAUCAGGAAGAACACCCGUGGCUAAGGCGGCUCUCUAGUACGGUACUGACGCUGAGACGCGAAAGCGUGGGGAGCGAACAGG